rfam:Oryza nivara chromosome 1, whole genome shotgun sequence.
AAAAAGACAGAACCUGAUUUCCGUGUCCAACAUUUGACCGUUCGUCUUAUUUGAAAAAGUUAUGACAAAAAUUAAAAAGAUAAGUCACGUAUAAAGUAUUAAUCAAGUUUUAUCAUUAAACAACAAUAAAAAUAUUAAUUAUAAAAAAUUUCAUAUAAAACGGACAGUCAAACGUUAGCACGGGAAUCCACGAUUUUUUUUGGA